UAUCCAUUGAACUGGCCAUUUCAAAUCAAAACUUCUAAACACAAAUCAAACCAUCAUCCUUGUAGAAUCUUUCACAGCAGCGGGCUAAAGAUCCUGGUUUUGUUGACAGGAUUUAUUGGUUCUGGAAGAACAAGAGGGAAGUACAAGCCUAACUACUUCUAGCUCACAGGCCCGUCCAGUGAACCCAGGGAUCGGUGAAUUUUAACUUUGGAGUCCACUAUGCUAAGGAUGCUCAGCUUACAGGUGAUGAAAUGUUCAGUAAUGUAUUUGCUGCAGCUCUGCUUACCCAAGCUUUGGGUUCCUUCUGUCCCACUGGGAGUUGCCCAGUUUGGUUGCAUCUGGUGAAAUUCACCCUGAGACCUUACAGAACUAGCUCCAACUACGUGAGAGCCAUUUGCAGUUCUCUCCAGACACCUGGAGAAUGGGUGACGUUUCUGAGGAUCCGGCGAGCGUGCUUCUAUCAAAACUCAGUCUGUGAAAUUCCUGGGGAAAACCCUUCUGUGUCCUGAAGGGUUCAAACUCUGGCGAGGAUCCCGUUAUCAGGUGCUCACCUGGAUGGUUCCAGCUGCCAAAGGGAAAGACUCUCGUAUCCUUGUCGUCGGGCUCGGUGCUGUCCAAGAAGAUACGGGGACUAAAAAAAUCAUAAGAAGCAAAAUAUGACUGCAGGGAAAAGAAGCUGGAGAGAACAGAAGACUCAUCACGGCGGGACAGCGUGAAGACUGAAAGUGUAAGAAGAUGUGGAGGGAAAGAGAGAAUCUGACAGGAGCAGCGAACGCACGAGUGCACGAAUUUUGCUUUUUGCUUGGAUGUAAACUCAGGAGUUGAAAGGAAUUUGGGAGUGAGAAGGGACAUUUCAGAAGGAGAAGAAGAAAAAGAAGUUGUUGCUACAGUCCUGGCAAAAGCUUUUGUUCUAGCUAAUAAAAGAAGUUAGUUUAAAAAACAAAAAGGAAAAAAUGUAGUGUUUUUUUUUUCCUUCACUAUGAUAUUCAUUG